UACGAAGGGGGCUAGCGUUGCUCGGAAUCACUGGGCGUAAAGCGCACGUAGGCGGCUUCUUAAGUCAGGGGUGAAAUCCUGGAGCUCAACUCCAGAACUGCCUUUGAUACUGAGGAGCUUGAGUCCGGGAGAGGUGAGUGGAACUGCGAGUGUAGAGGUGAAAUUCGUAGAUAUUCGCAAGAACACCCGUGGCGAAGGCGGCUCUCUGGGACGGUACUGACGCUGAGACGCGAAAGCGUGGGGAGCGAACAGG
rnacentral:rRNA from 1 species